rnacentral:rRNA from 1 species
AGCCACAACCACAUCACCCGGCAGGCCAAGACCGGUUACUCACAGAAGCUAGGCAGGAUGGAGCCUGGUCAAUAGAUGUACGGGAGACCACAUGGGAAAACUUGGUUGCUGAUGUGU